rnacentral:rRNA from 1 species
UGCAGUCGGACGGCAGAGAUUCUUUCGGGAAUUUUGAGAGUGGCGCACGGGUGCGUAACGCGUAUGCAACCUACCUUUUACUGGGGGAUAGCCCGGGGAAACCCGGAUUAAUACCCCAUGGUAUUGUGACAUGGCAUCAUGUUAUGAUUAAAGAUUCAUCGGUAAAAGAUGGGCAUGCGUAGGAUUAGCUAGUUGGCGGGGUAACGGCCCACCAAGGCGAUGAUCCUUAGGGGUUCUGAGAGGAAGGUCCCCCACACUGGCACUGAGAUACGGGCCAGACUCCUACGGGAGGCAGCAGUAGGGAAUAUUGGGCAAUGGUCGGAAGACUGACCCAGCCAUGCCGCGUGCAGGAAGAAGGCGUUACGCGUUGUAAACUGCUUUUAUACGGGAAGAAAAGGCCCCUGCGGGGGAAAUUGCCGGUACCGUAUGAAUAAGCACCGGCUAACUCCGUGCCAGCAGCCGCGGUAAUACGGAGGGUGCGAGCGUUGUCCGGAUUUAUUGGGUUUAAAGGGUGCGCAGGCGGCCUUAUAAGUCAGCGGUGAAAUACUCCGGCUCAACCGGAGGGGUGCCGUUGAUACUGUUUGGCUUGAGUGCGGUCUACGUACAUGGAAUUUAUGGUGUAGCGGUGAAAUGCAUAGAUACCAUAAGGAACACCGAUAGCGAAGGCAUUGUACGGGGC